AGUCGAACGAAGUAGCAAUACUUAGUGGCAGACGGGUGAGUAACAUGUAGGUAUCUACCCUUUGGCCUGGAAUAACACGAGGAAACUUGUGCUAAUACCGGAUAAGUCUUUACGGAGAAAGCUUUAUGCACCAUUGGAUGAGCCUGCACUUGAUUAGUUUGUUGGUGGGGUAAUGGCCUACCAAGACUGUGAUCAAUAGCUGAUUUGAGAGGAUGAUCAGCCACAUUGGGACUGAGACACGGCCCAAACUCCUACGGGAGGCAGCAAUGGGGAAUCUUGCACAAUGGAGGAAACUCUGAUGCAGCGAUGCCGCGUGAGUGAAGAAGGCCCUUGGGUUGUAAAGCUCUUUCGUCGGGGAAGAAAAUGACUGUACCCGAAUAAGAAGGUCCGGCUAACUUCGUGCCAGCAGCCGCGGUAAUACGAAGGGACCUAGCGUAGUUCGGAAUUACUGGGCUUAAAGAGUUCGUAGGUGGUUGAAAAAGUUGGUGGUGAAAUCCCAGAGCUUAACUCUGGAACUGCCAUCAAAACUUUUCAGCUAGAGUAUGAUGGAGGAAAGCAGAAUUUCUAGUGUAGAGGUGAAAUUCGUAGAUAUUAGAAAGAAUACCAAUUGCGAAGGCAGCUUUCCGGAUCAUUACUGACACUGAGGAACGAAAGCAUGGGUAGCGAAGAGGAUUAGAUACCCUCGUAGUCCAUGCCGUAAACGAUGUGUGUUAGACGUUGGAAAUCUAUUUUCAGUGUCGCAGCAAAAGCGAUAAACACACCGCCUGGGGAGUACGACCGCAAGGUUAAAACUCAAAUGA
rnacentral:rRNA from 1 species